rnacentral:tRNA from 1 species
GGGGCUGUAGCUCAGCUGGGAGAGCGCCUGCAUGGCAUGCAGGAGGUCGUGGGUUCGAGCCCCAUCAGCUCCA